rnacentral:rRNA from 1 species
GUAAUGUCUGGGAAACUGCCUGAUGGAGGGGGAUAACUACUGGAAACGGUGGCUAAUACCGCAUAACGUCGCAAGACCAAAGAGGGGGACCUUCGGGCCUCUUGCCAUCAGAUGUGCCCAGAUGGGAUUAGCUUGUUGGUGAGGUAACGGCUCACCAAGGCGACGAUCCCUAGCUGGUCUGAGAGGAUGACCAGCCACACUGGAACUGAGACACGGUCCAGACUCCUACGGGAGGCAGCAGUGGGGAAUAUUGCACAAUGGGCGCAAGCCUGAUGCAGCCAUGCCGCGUGUAUGAAGAAGGCCUUCGGGUUGUAAAGUACUUUCAGCGGGGAGGAAGGUGUUGCGGUUAAUAACC